GAUGAACGCUGGCGGCGUGCCUAAUACAUGCAAGUCGAGCGAACAGACGAGGAGCUUGCUCCUCUGACGCUAGCGGCGGACGGGUGAGUAACACGUGGAUAACCUACCUAUAAGACUGGGAUAACUUCGGGAAACCGGAGCUAAUACCGGAUAAUAUAUUGAACCGCAUGGUUCAAUAGUGAAAGACGGUUUUGCUGUCACUUAUAGAUGGAUCCGCGCCGCAUUAGCUAGUUGGUAAGGUAACGGCUUACCAAGGCAACGAUGCGUAGCCGACCUGAGAGGGUGAUCGGCCACACUGGAACUGAGACACGGUCCAGACUCCUACGGGAGGCAGCAGUAGGGAAUCUUCCGCAAUGGGCGAAAGCCUGACGGAGCAACGCCGCGUGAGUGAUGAAGGUCUUCGGAUCGUAAAACUCUGUUAUUAGGGAAGAACAAAUGUGUAAGUAGCUAUGCACGUCUUGACGGUACCUAAUCAGAAAGCCACGGCUAACUACGUG
rnacentral:rRNA from 1 species